rnacentral:rRNA from 1 species
AUUGAACGCUGGCGGCAGGCCUAACACAUGCAAGUCGAGCGGGGUUUUCGGACCUAGCGGCGGACGGGUGAGUAAUGCGUAGGAAGCUGCCCGAUAGAGGGGGAUACCAGUUGGAAACGGCUGUUAAUACCGCAUAAUGUCUACGGACCAAAGUGUGGGACCUUCGGGCCACAUGCUAUCGGAUGCGCCUACGUGGGAUUAGCUAGUUGGUGAGGUAAUGGCUCACCAAGGCGACGAUCUCUAGCUGGUUUGAGAGGAUGAUCAGCCACACUGGAACUGAGACACGGUCCAGACUCCUACGGGAGGCAGCAGUGGGGAAUAUUGGACAAUGGGCGCAAGCCUGAUCCAGCCAUGCCGCGUGUGUGAAGAAGGCCUUCGGGUUGUAAAGCACUUUCAGCGAGGAGGAAGGGGUGUGUGUUAAUAGUACACACCUUUGACGUUACUCGCAGAAGAAGCACCGGCUAACUCUGUGCCAGCAGCCGCGGUAACAC